rnacentral:rRNA from 1 species
UGAGGAAUAUUGGACAAUGGAUGGAAAUCUGAUCCAGCCAUGCCGCGUGCAGGAAGACGACCCUAUGGGUUGUAAACUGCUUUUGUAUGGGAGCAAUAAGGACUACGUGUAGUUUGAUGAGAGUACCAUACGAAUAAGCAUCGGCUAACUCCGUGCCAGCAGCCGCGGUAAUACGGAGGAUGCGAGCGUUAUCCGGAUUUAUUGGGUUUAAAGGGUGCGUAGGCGGCGAUAUAAGUCAGUGGUGAAAUAUUUCGGCUUAACCGAGAGACUGCCAUUGAUACUGUGUUGCUAGAAUAUGGUUGCUGUGAGUGGAAUGUGUGGUGUAGCGGUGAAAUGCUUAGAUAUCACACAGAAUAUCGAUUGCGAAGGCAGCUCACAAAGCCAUUAUUGACGCUGAGGCACGAAAGUGUGGGGAUCAAACA